GCUGGCGGCGUNCCUAACACAUGCAAGUCGGACGCGAAAGCUCCUUCGGGAGUGAGUAGAGUGGCGCACGGGUGAGUAACGCGUAGGUAAUCUACCUCUGGAUUGGGGAUAACUCUGCGAAAGCGGAGCUAAUACCGAAUGGUCUGGCUUUAUUUUGAUGAAGUCGGUAAAGGAUGCCUCUGCAUAUGCAUCUGUCCGGAGAUGAGCCUGCGUCCCAUUAGCUAGUUGGUAGGGUAAAGGCCUACCAAGGCGACGAUGGGUAGCUGGUCUGAGAGGAUGAUCAGCCACACUGGAACUGGAACACGGUCCAGACUCCUACGGGAGGCAGCAGUGGGGAAUAUUGGGCAAUGGGCGCAAGCCUGACCCAGCAACGCCGUGUGAGGGAUGAAGGCCUUCGGGUCGUAAACCUCUGUCAGAAGGGAAGAACGGGCACAGUUCGAAUAGGGCUGUGUUUUGACGGUACCUUCAGAGGAAGCACCGGCUAACUCCGUGCCAGCAGCCGCGGUAAUACGGAGGGUGCGAGCGUUAUUCGGAAUCACUGGGCGUAAAGGGCGCGUAGGCGGCCUGGUAAGUCAGGGGUGAAAUCCCACGGCUCAACCGUGGAAUUGCCUUUGAAACUGCUGGGCUUGGAUCCUGGAGAGGGUGGCGGAAUUCCUGGUGUAGGAGUGAAAUCCGUAGAUAUCAGGAGGAACACCGGUGGCGAAGGCGGCCACCUGGACAGGUAUCGACGCUGAGGCGCGAAAGUGUGGGGAGCAAACAGGAUUAGAUACCCUGGUAGUCCACACCGUAAACGAUGGAUACUAGGUGUUGGGGGCAUGACCCUCAGUG
rnacentral:rRNA from 1 species